AAAAACUGAGGUGGUAUACGAUGGUUCCGCGUCUGAUUAGCUAGUUGGUGGGGUAAAAGCCUACCAAGGCAACGAUCAGUAGCCGGCCUGAGAGGGUGAACGGCCACAUUGGGACUGAGACACGGCCCAAACUCCUACGGGAGGCAGCAGUGGGGAAUAUUGCACAAUGGGGGAAACCCUGAUGCAGCGACGCCGCGUGAGUGAAGAAGUAUUUCGGUAUGUAAAGCUCUAUCAGCAGGGAAGAAAUACUGACCAUAGGGUCAGCAGACGGUACUUGACUAAGAAGCCCCGGCUAACUACGUGCCAGCAGCCGCGGUAAUACGUAGGGGGCAAGCGUUAUCCGGAUUUACUGGGUGUAAAGGGAGCGUAGACGGCAGCGCAAGUCUGAAGUGAAAUGCCAGGGCUUAACCCUGGAACUGCUUUGGAAACUGUGCAGCUAGAGUGCAGGAGAGGUAAGUGGAAUUUCUAGUGUAGCGGUGAAAUGCGUAGAUAUUAGGAGGAACACCAGUGGCGAAGGCGGCUUACUGGACUGUAACUGACGUUGAGGCUCGAAAGCGUGGGGAGCAAACAGGACUAGAUACCCUGGUAGUCCACGCUGUAAACGAUGAUUACUAGGUGUUGGG
rnacentral:rRNA from 1 species